GGGUUGUGAGGUUAAGCGACUAAGCGUACACGGUGGAUGCCCUGGCAGUCAGAGGCGAUGAAGGACGUGCUAAUCUGCGAUAAGCGUCGGUAAGGUGAUAUGAACCGUUAUAACCGGCGAUUUCCGAAUGGGGAAACCCAGUGUGUUUCGACACACUAUCAUUAACUGAAUCCAUAGGUUAAUGAGGCGAACCGGGGGAACUGAAACAUCUAAGUACCCCGAGGAAAAGAAAUCAACCGAGAUUCCCCCAGUAGCGGCGAGCGAACGGGGAGCAGCCCAGAGCCUGAAUCAGUGUGUGUGUUAGUGGAAGCGUCUGGAAAGGCGCGCGAUACAGGGUGACAGCCCCGUACACAAAAAUGCACAUGCUGUGAGCUCGAUGAGUAGGGCGGGACACGUGGUAUCCUGUCUGAAUAUGGGGGGACCAUCCUCCAAGGCUAAAUACUCCUGACUGACCGAUAGUGAACCAGUACCGUGAGGGAAAGGCGAAAAGAACCCCGGCGAGGGGAGUGAAAAAGAACCUGAAACCGUGUACGUACAAGCAGUGGGAGCACGCUUCGGCGUGUGACUGCGUACCUUUUGUAUAAUGGGUCAGCGACUUAUAUUCUGUAGCAAGGUUAACCGAAUAGGGGAGCCGAAGGGAAACCGAGUCUUAACUGGGCGUUAAGUUGCAGGGUAUAGACCCGAAACCCGGUGAUCUAGCCAUGGGCAGGUUGAAGGUUGGGUAACACUAACUGGAGGACCGAACCGACUAAUGUUGAAAAAUUAGCGGAUGACUUGUGGCUGGGGGUGAAAGGCCAAUCAAACCGGGAGAUAGCUGGUUCUCCCCGAAAGCUAUUUAGGUAGCGCCUCGUGAAUUCAUCUCCGGGGGUAGAGCACUGUUUCGGCAAGGGGGUCAUCCCGACUUACCAACCCGAUGCAAACUGCGAAUACCGGAGAAUGUUAUCACGGGAGACACACGGCGGGUGCUAACGUCCGUCGUGAAGAGGGAAACAACCCAGACCGCCAGCUAAGGUCCCAAAGUCAUGGUUAAGUGGGAAACGAUGUGGGAAGGCCCAGACAGCCAGGAUGUUGGCUUAGAAGCAGCCAUCAUUUAAAGAAAGCGUAAUAGCUCACUGGUCGAGUCGGCCUGCGCGGAAGAUGUAACGGGGCUAAACCAUG
rnacentral:rRNA from 1 species